UAUAAACCCAUGAUAAUUGGAGUGACUGCAGGACUGACUAUCACUUUUUUGAUCAUUGUCUUCUUGGUCCUAAUGUGGCGCUACAGAAACAACAAAGGUGGAAGAUCUCCCUCUACUGUCAGUCAACAGCAGAGCCUCAGUCAGACAUCAGAGCAGAACCAGAGAGAAGUGCGAGACAAGACACUGCUGUCUGACAGUGUAAGUGCACCUUCUGAACUCACCUAUGCUGAGAUUGAAC